GAUGAACGCUGGCGGCGUGCCUAAUACAUGCAAGUCGAGCGAACAGACGAGGAGCUUGCUCCUCUGACGUUAGCGGCGGACGGGUGAGUAACACGUGGAUAACCUACCUAUAAGACUGGGAUAACUUCGGGAAACCGGAGCUAAUACCGGAUAAUAUAUUGAACCGCAUGGUUCAAUAGUGAAAGCCGGUUUUGCUGUCACUUAUAGAUGGAUCCGCGCCGCAUUAGCUAGUUGGUAAGGUAACGGCUUACCAAGGCAACGAUGCGUAGCCGACCUGAGAGGGUGAUCGGCCACACUGGAACUGAGACACGGUCCAGACUCCUACGGGAGGCAGCAGUAGGGAAUCUUCCGCAAUGGGCGAAAGCCUGACGGAGCAACGCCGCGUGAAUGAUGAAGGUCUUCGGAUCGUAAAACUCUGUUAUUAGGGAAGAACAAAUGUGUAAGUAACUAUGCACGUCUUGACGGUACCUAAUCAGAAAGCCACGGCUAACUACGUG
rnacentral:rRNA from 1 species